UGGGGAAUUUUGGACAAUGGGGGCAACCCUGAUCCAGCAAUGCCGCGUGUGUGAAGAAGGCCUUCGGGUUGUAAAGCACUUUUGUCCGGAAAGAAAACUUCGGGGCUAAUACCCCUGGAGGAUGACGGUACCGGAAGAAUAAGCACCAGCUAACUACGUGCCAGCAGCCGCGGUAAUACGUAGGGUGCGAGCGUUAAUCGGAAUUACUGGGCGUAAAGCGUGCGCAGGCGGUGCUGUAAGACCGAUGUGAAAUCCCCGGGCUUAACCUGGGAACUGCAUUGGUGACUGCAGCGCUGGAGUAUGGCAGAGGGGGGUGGAAUUCCACGUGUAGCAGUGAAAUGCGUAGAGAUGUGGAGGAACACCGAUGGCGAAGGCAGCCCCCUGGGCCAAUACUGACGCUCAUGCACGAAAGCGUGGGGAGCAAACAGG
rnacentral:rRNA from 1 species